rnacentral:rRNA from 1 species
UUAUCAAAAACAUGUCUUUUUGUAUUUUAUUUAAAGUCUGACCUGCCCAUUGAAUAAUUUUUAAAGGCUGCGGUAUUUUGACCGUACAAAGGUAGCAUAAUCAUUAGUUUUUUAAUUGAAAACUUGUAUGAAUGGUUCAACGAAAUAUUUUCUGUUUCAUAAAAAUUUAUAUAGAAAUUAAUUUUUUAGUUAAAAAGCUAAAAUAUAAUUAAAAGACGAGAAGACCCUAUAGAGUUUUAUAUAAUUUAAUUUUUAAUUUAUUUAUAAUAAUUAAAAUUUAAUUUUAAUUUAUAUUUUGUUGGGGUGACAGUAAAAUUUUAUAAUCUUUUAUUAUUUUAUAACAAUGAUUUUUGAUUAAUUGAUCCAUUAUUAGUGAUUAUAAGAUUAAAUUACCUUAGGGAUAACAGCGUAAUUUUUUUGAAGAGUUCUUAUCGAUAAAAAAUUUUGCGACCUCGAUGUUGGAUUAAGAUUAAUUUUAGGUGUAGAAGCUUAAUAAUUGGGUCUGUUCGACCUUUAAAUUCUUACGUGAUCUGAGU